GUAGUGGUGGUUCAGUGGUGGAAUUCCCGCCUUCCGUGCAGGAGAUCCAGGUUCGAUUCCCGGCCAACGCA
rnacentral:tRNA from 1 species